rnacentral:rRNA from 1 species
CAAAUCCCAGAAAGAACCGUCCCCAGUUCGGAUUGCAGUCUGCAACUCGACUGCAUGAAGCCGGAAUCGCUAGUAAUCGCGGAUCAGAAUGCCGCGGUGGAUACGUUCCCGGGUCUUGUACACACCGCCCGUCACACCAUGGGAGCCGGUAAUACCCGAAGCCAGUAGUCCAACCACGUGAGGACGCUGCCGAAGGUAGGAUUGGCGACUGGGGUGAAGUCGUAACAAGGUACC